rnacentral:rRNA from 1 species
GAGUUUGAUCGUGGCUCAGGAUGAACGCUGGCGGCGUGCUUAACACAUGCAAGUCGAGCGAAGCACUUAUCAAUGAAUCUUCGGAGGAAUUGAUAUUUGACUGAGCGGCGGACGGGUGAGUAACGCGUGGGUAACCUGCCUCAUACAGGGGAAUAACAGUUAGAAAUGGCUGCUAAUGCCGCAUAAGCGCACAGGACCGCAUGGUCCGGUGUGAAAAACUGAGGUGGUAUGAGAUGGCCCGCGUCUGAUUAGGUAGUUGGUGGGGUAACGGCCUACCAAGCCGACGAUCAGUAGCCGGCCUGAGAGGGUGAACGGCCACAUUGGGACUGAGACACGGCCCAGACUCCUACGGGAGGCAGCAGUGGGGAAUAUUGCACAAUGGGGGAAACCCUGAUGCAGCGACGCCGCGUGAA